rnacentral:rRNA from 1 species
AUUGAACGCUGGCGGCAGGCCUAACACAUGCAAGUCGAGCGGAGCGGCGGACGGGUGAGUAAUGCCUAGGAAUCUGCCUGGUAGUGGGGGAUAACGUACGGAGAGGGGCGCUAAUACCGCAUACGAGCAGGGCAGCCUCGGUUGGAUUAGCUAGAUGGUGGGGUAAAGGCCUACCAAGGCGACGAUCCCUCACUGGUCUGAGAGGAUGAUCAGUCACACUGGGACUGAGACACGGUCCAGACUCCUACGGGAGGCAGCAGUGGGGAAUAUUGGACAAUGGGCGAAAGCCUGACCCAGCCAGGCCGCGUGUGUGAAGAAGGUCUUCGGAUUGUAAAGCACUGUAAGUUGGGAAGCGUUACCAACAGAAUAAGCAACGGCUAACUUCGUGCCAGCAGCCGCGGUAAUUC